rnacentral:rRNA from 1 species
UACGGAGGAGGCUAGCGUUAUCCGGAUUUAUUGGGCGUAAAGCGUCCGCAGGCGGUUUGUCAAGUCUGCUGUCAAAGCGCGAAGCUCAACUUCGUAAAGGCAGUGGAAACUGAUGAACUUGAGGGUGAAAGGGGCAGAGGGAAUUCCCAGUGUAGCGGUGAAAUGCGUAGAGAUUGGGAAGAACACCGGUGGCGAAAGCGCCCUGCUGGGUCACACCUGACACUGAGGGACGAAAGCUAGGGGAGCGAAAGGG